UACGAGAGGCCCAAACGUUAUUCGGAAUUACUGGGCUUAAAGAGUUCGUAGGCGGCGCAGAAAGUAGGGUGUGAAAGCCCUCGGCUCAACCGAGGAAUUGCGCUCUAAACUACUGUGCUUGAGGAAGCUAGAGGUGAGCAGAACAGAUGGUGGAGCGGUGAAAUGCGUUGAUAUCAUCUGGAAUACCGGAGGCGAAGGCGGCUCACUGGGGCUUUUCUGACGCUGAGGAGCGAAAGCGUGGGGAGCGAACAGG
rnacentral:rRNA from 1 species